rnacentral:rRNA from 1 species
UAGGGAAUUUUCCACAAUGGACGAAAGUCUGAUGGAGCAACGCCGCGUGAACGAUGAAGGUCUUCGGAUUGUAAAGUUCUGUUGUUAGGGACGAAUAAGUACCGUUCGAAUAGGGCGGUACCUUGACGGUACCUGACGAGAAAGCCACGGCUAACUACGUGCCAGCAGCCGCGGUAAUACGUAGGUGGCAAGCGUUGUCCGGAUUUAUUGGGCGUAAAGCGCGCGCAGGCGGCUAUGUAAGUCUGGUGUUAAAGCCCGGGGCUCAACCCCGGUUCGCAUCGGAAACUGUGUAGCUUGAGUGCAGAAGAGGAAAGCGGUAUUCCACGUGUAGCGGUGAAAUGCGUAGAGAUGUGGAGGAACACCAGUGGCGAAGGCGGCUUUCUGGUCUGUAACUGACGCUGAGGCGCGAAAGCGUGGGGAGCAAACAGG